AAUUUGACAGGUGCAGAAUUUGCCAGCACAUGCAAGAGAUGGAAAAAGAUCAUAAUUUGACAUACCCACAGAUGCAACUACUAAAUGAGAGUGAGGCAAGCUGCACAAGCCAAUUGCCAUCACCAAAUUCCAACAAUGCUCACAGCAUUGGAACAGAAGUGUCUGGCUGUGAUAAUUCCGCACGGACAGGGGUUCAGAAAUCUCACUCUCUUCCAGGAAGGAUGACACAUAGUUAGCAUAUGGGACUCUAAGUCAGGAGAACCCACAUACACAAGUAACAGGAGCUCAGCCAACGCAGCGUACUCAGCUCCUCACAAGCAUCUCUCCAGCAAUGAUGUGAAUAAUCGCCACAGUUUAAAGGGCUGAAAUUAGGAGCCACCUCCAACACUCAAUUUCUAUAGGGUCAGCCAGCUGGAGCACGGAAAGACAGAAGGAAAGAGGACAGACACCGUGCACAAACUGCUAAGCCCCCUCACCCAGCUCAGAACACAGAGCAAAGUGGCUCCUGGAUUCUCACUGCACAGCAAGUCAACAAGCUCUAGAUCAGUGGUAGGCAACCUAUGGCACAGUUGCA